rnacentral:tRNA from 1 species
GCUCCGAUAAUCUAGCCCGGUCAAGGAUGCAGCCCUCUCACGGCUGAGACCCGGGUUCAAAUCCCGGUCGGAGCA